rnacentral:rRNA from 1 species
UACGUAGGUGGCAAGCGUUGUCCGGAAUUAUUGGGCGUAAAGCGCGCGCAGGCGGUCCUUUAAGUCUGAUGUGAAGGCCCACGGCUCAACCGUGGAGGGUCAUUGGAAACUGGGGGACUUGAGUGCAGAAGAGGAAAGUGGAAUUCCACGUGUAGCGGUGAAAUGCGUAGAGAUGUGGAGGAACACCAGUGGCGAAGGCGACUUUCUGGUCUGUAACUGACGCUGAGGCGCGAAAGCGUGGGGAGCAAACAGG